ensembl:lncRNA LINC00343 long intergenic non-protein coding RNA 343
AGAUCAAGAGGAGAGGCUCUCCAGAUUUGCUGACCUAGAAGGAUAAGUCUGAAAGUAGGAGGGUGGGGAGAGCCAGAUGAACAAGGGAGGUGAAAACGUGAUCUAGGGAGGCAUCCGAGUGAGCAAAGGCACGAGUGAGCCUGGUACACUUCUGGGCAGGCAGAAGGAAGGCAGUUAGGCUGUUAGGAAGGCAGUUAGGCUGCAGUGAAUUCUACAAAGAGGCUAUGGGAAAGAAACCUGGAAAGUACCCUUGGCUGUGUACAUUUGAGUAAAGAGAGCACUAUAAAAUCAAAAACCAAUGAAAUGGUUUCCAGAACACAGAACUAUUAAGCUUAAGAAAAGGACAGAAGGAACUGAAGAGAGAGGAACUGUUUUGGAGCAUCACACUUCCACCUCAGAAGAAAUAAGGAAGGAAGGAGGAGGGUGUUCCCACGGCUCUUCAACCAGGCCGGCUCUUCAGCCUACAUCCCCAUCUCAUCAAGUAAAAGGGAUUUUUCAACUGGACCAACCAGAUGGUUUAACAGUGCACUCCCACACCAUUCAACUACGCAAGGGAGAUACACUUAACAUAUGCAGUCGUAUAACACCUACUAACAUUUUCAAACAUUAAACCUUUAAAAAAGAGUUCUAAAGAAAUAGAAGCUUGAAGUAUCAUCUCUCAAGUAUAUAGACACUACUUCAUGGUGUGGUAAUAUAUGCAUAUAGAAGCUAGUAAACACCUCCAGGAGAUGCAAAAGGAAUUAGAACUGCCACAAGGUGCAAGCAAAACCUUGAGCUUCUUUAAAAUAUGAAGACUUCGAAGUUAUUUAUCCAAACCAACCUGAUCAUUUCUUAAGAGUGAAUAUACCUUGGAAGACGUGUCCUGCCUUUAGUAGCGUCACAAUGGAUUACAUCCUCUAUAAAGCAGUCUGGGGUGAGAAAAUCGAAUUUGGACACCGUUGAGGAGACUAUUGCAGUCAUCCAAGCUCAAGAUGGUGGAGCUUCAUCCUUGAGAAUAACCAAUGGGGAUAGAUUUAAGAGACACUUAGAGUCUGCAGCCAACAGGGCUGAAUGAGCAUUCUGUUUUUCCUCUUCUAAUCCUUCACCCAUCUGAGCUAAAGUCUAGACCUAAGGAGGCUACUAAUUCAGGGAUCGAGUAAUCUGCCAAGCAAGAGUUUAUUCAAGCACAGUUUGAAAUAAAGGUUUCAAAUGCAUAGCCUGUCGAUACUUUGGAAGGAUUCUCAUCAUAACGAGUAUGCAAUUUGCUAUAAAGAAGAAUGCCCAUUACGGACUAAAUGUUUAUGUCCUCCUAAAAUUCAUAUGUUGAAGGCCUAACUCUCAAUGUGAUGAUUAUGUGGAGAUGGUGCCUUUGGGAGGAUAUGGGAGGACACCUGAGACGGCAGGCCAGAAGUCACUCAGUAGGAGAAACAUCCGUUAGAAGUAAUAAUGUGGGAUUGCUGAAGUAAAGACUAUAGGAAGAAAAAAGUGUCUGUGUGUAGGAAACGGAAAGGGAGAGAAAAAUACACUGAGAUGGUAAAGUAAGGAAGUGGAAGAUCAGCAGAAUGUGCAGAUGCCAAGCCAUCCAAGAAAAUCAUCUCUUGUGAUUGUUGCGAAGUCAACUAGCUAAUGUGACUCACUGCUAGGCUGUUGGAUCUGAGACUUAUGUGGGAUAAUUUAGAAACUUGCUAGUGUCUUAAGAUCAAUUACUCACCAAUGAGAGUGGCAUUGAACUGUGAAUGUUCCUCCUAGAUUUUCCAUGAAGACUAAUGGUUUUGUCUUGUCUUGAAUUUGUUUUAAUUACAAUUUGUAUACAUCCUGUUCCACCCUGAAAUUUUUAUUUUCCAAAUGGUUUUUCAUUUAAAGAGACUAAAUAAAGGUUCUGACUGAGUUGUACUUGUGGGAACUCCAAAAUCUUUUUAUAGGAAGCUAUUUUCAUCAAAUAGUGUUGAGAAUCAAGUUUCCAGUUGGAGAAAAUAACAGAGACAUGCAAAUUCAGGAUGUAGCUGUACAGCAAUGUUAGUGAAGAGAGAAAAUUUUGAGUCAUUUAGACAUUAACCAUUAAGCAUCUGGAUUUUUUUAAAUGUUAAGACAGAAAAAAAUACCUGUAUGUCAACCAAAAUUUUAUUUAAUUUAGUGAACUGUGAUAGGGACUCCUCUCUGCUCAUCCAAAUCCAGGUUUUCUUCUGCUCCUGGACACAUAAGCAGGGUAUGUGUUGCAGUUAGCUGUGGCCAGGACAUUGGACUUGUGGUCAAUGGAAUAUGCACAAGAAGAGAUGUGCGAUAUUUCCAAGCCUGACUCCCUAAACAGUAAAUACUUUCGAGUCAUAAUUUUCCACAUUCUGUCCUAUUAGCUGUGUCAAUGGAAUGACUAUUGGCAUCUUAGAAGUUAGAGAUGAAAGAUCUCCUAUCAGCCUGAUUCUUCAGAGACUUACUUGGAACAGAACCUCUGCUGUGGAUCUUAAACCACUCACUCUGGGGAAUGGUGAGGAUUAAAUUCCUAUUUUGU